ACGGGUGAGUAACGCGUGGGAAUCUACCCAUCCCUACGGAAUAACGCAUGGAAACGUGUGCUAAUACCGUAUACGCCCUACGGGGGAAAGAUUUAUCGGGGAUGGAUGAGCCCGCGUUGGAUUAGCUAGUUGGUGGGGUAAAGGCCUACCAAGGCGACGAUCCAUAGCUGGUCUGAGAGGAUGAUCAGCCACAUUGGGACUGAGACACGGCCCAAACUCCUACGGGAGGCAGCAGUGGGGAAUAUUGGACAAUGGGCGCAAGCCUGAUCCAGCCAUGCCGCGUGAGUGAUGAAGGCCUUAGGGUUGUAAAGCUCUUUCACCGGAGAAGAUAAUGACGGUAUCCGGAGAAGAAGCCCCGGCUAACUUCGUGCCAGCAGCCGCGGUAAUACGAAGGGGGCUAGCGUUGUUCGGAAUUACUGGGCGUAAAGCGCACGUAGGCGGACUUUUAAGUCAGGGGUGAAAUCCCGGGGCUCAACCUCGGAACUGCCUUUGAUACUGGAAGUCUGGAGUAUGGAAGAGGUGAGUGGA
rnacentral:rRNA from 1 species